GGAGGAAUGGUCGAGUGGUUGAAGGCACCGGUCUUGAAAACCGGCGAGGGUUUACGCCCUCCGUGAGUUCGAAUCUCACUUCCUCCGCCAUCA
rnacentral:tRNA from 2 species